UGUCUGCAUACAAAAAACAGAA
rnacentral:miRNA from 1 species